rnacentral:rRNA from 1 species
GACGAACCGUGCGAGCGUUGUUCGGAAUCACUGGGCUUAAAGGGCGCGUAGGCGGGCUCGCCAGUCAGGGGUGAAAUCCCGCGGCUCAACCGUGGAAGUGCCUCUGAUACUGCGAGUCUCGAGGGAGGUAGGGGCGUGCGGAACUUCCGGUGGAGCGGUGAAAUGCGUAGAUAUCGGAAGGAACACCGGUGGCGAAAGCGGCGCGCUGGACCUCUUCUGACGCUGAGGCGCGAAAGCCAGGGGAGCAAACGGG